ACGGCGAGUGAAGCGGCAACAGCUCAAAUUUGAAAUCUGGCUCUCUUUGGGGGUCCGAGUUGUAAUUUGCAGAGGAUGCUUUGGCAUUGGCGGCGGUCUAAGUUCCUUGGAACAGGACAUCGCAGAGGGUGAGAAUCCCGUACGUGGGCGCCUGCCUUUGCCGUGUAAAGCUCCUUCGACGAGUCGAGUUGUUUGGGAAUGCAGCUCUAAAUGGGAGGUAAAUUUCUUCUAAAGCUAAAUACCGGCCAGAGACCGAUAGCGCACAAGUAGAGUGAUCGAAAGAUGAAAAGUACUUUGGAAAGAGAGUCAAAAAGCACGUGAAAUUGUUGAAAGGGAAGCGCUUGCAGCCAGACUUGCCCGCAGUUGCUCACCUAGGCUUUGGCCUGGGGCACUCUUCUGCGGGCAGGCCAGCAUCAGUUUGGGCGGUUGGAUAAAGGCCUCUGUCACGUAUCUUCCUUCGGGAUGACCUUAUAGGGGAGGCGUAAUGCAACCAGCCCGGACUGAGGUCCGCGCAUCUGCUAGGAUGCUGGCGUAAUGGCUGUAAGCGGCCCGUCUUGAAACACGGACCAAGGAGUCUAACAUCUAUGCGAGUGUUUGGGUGUCAAGCCCGGGCGCGCAAUGAAAGUGAACGGAGGUGGGAACCCUUUGGGUGCACCAUCGACCGAUCCUGAUGUCUUCGGAUGGAUUUGAGUAAGAGCAUAGCUGUUGGGACCCGAAAGAUGGUGAACUAUGCUUGAAUAGGGUGAAGCCAGAGGAAACUCUGGUGGAGGCUCGCAGCGGUUCUGACGUGCAAAUCGAUCGUCAAAUUUGGGCAUAGGGGCGAAAGACUAAUCGA
rnacentral:rRNA from 1 species